GUGUGACCUUUGAGCACCCACUGUGUACCUCCACAUGUUGCCAAAGGUCAGGCUGCAGAACCAGAGCAGGUGCUUGCACAUACUGGGGCUGCCCCCACCCCCGUAGUGGCCUUUUUAAUUGUGAGCCACAUGG
rnacentral:snoRNA from 1 species